GAUGAAGAACGCAGCGAAAUGCGAUAAGUAAUGCGAAUUGCAGAAUUCCAGUGAGUCAUCGAAUCUUUGAACGCACAUUGCGCCCUUUGGUAUUCCGAAGGGCAUGCCUGUUCGAGCGUCAUUAUCACCCCUCAAGCCCUCGGCUUGGUGUUGGACGGUUUGGUGGAGGCCCCCUCGGGGGCUCCUGCCCCUCCCAGAGACAAUGACGGCGGCCUCGUUGGACCCCCGGUACACUGAGUUCUUCACGGGACACGUAUCGGACACAUGGGUUUACGGGACACGGUCUGCCUCCCCUCAGGGAGAAUCUUUCUAAGGUUGACCUCGGAUCAGGUAGGGAUACCCGCUGAACUUAAGCAUAUCAAUAAGCGGAGGA
rnacentral:misc_RNA from 1 species